CCUACGGGUGGCAGCAGUCGAGAAUCAUUCACAAUGGGGGAAACCCUGAUGGUGCGACGCCGCGUGGGGGAAUGAAGGUCUUCGGAUUGUAAACCCCUGUCAUGUGGGAGCAAAUUAAAAAGAUAGUACCACAAGAGGAAGAGACGGCUAACCCUGAGCCCGCAGCCCCGGGAAUACAGAGGUCUCAAGCGUUGUUCGGAAUCACUGGGCGUAAAGUGUGCGUAGGCUGUUUCGUAAGUCGUGUGUGAAAGGCGCGGGCUCAACCCGCGGACGGCACAUGAUACUGCGUGACUAGAGUAAUGGAGGGGGAAGCGGAAUUCUCGGUGUAGCAGUGAAAUGCGUAGAUAUCGAGAGGAACACUCGUGGCGAAGGCGGGUUCCUGGACAUUAACUGACGCUGAGGCACGAAGGCCAGGGGAGCGAAAGGGAUUAGAUACCCCAGUAGUC
rnacentral:rRNA from 1 species